CAAGCCCAUACAAGACUGGAUGCUUGAGACUCAAAGAUGAUUCCAAGCAGGCCAGCAUGGACGUUACUGCAUUUACUUCCUAAUGGCAUCCAAAUCUUUUCCUGUAUAAUUGCAAGGAGGUCUCCAAAUACAAAGGAACCCUACAAGACCAAACAAACGUAUAUUACUACUAUACUAUUGCACAGGUGCCGACUCCUCCUUUAUACAGUGGAUGUUUUCUGUGUGGCUCCUUGCAAGCCCCUUGGGGCGGUCCCUUUUUCCCUUCAGUGGUGCUUCGGGGGGAUGUGGGUGGCAAUCCAGCCCCCUGGAUUCAUCAACAGUAUUAUUUCUGGUCACAUGAAUAGUUAUUUCACCGCUGAGUGAGCCAAUUGUCCCCCUGAGGAGACCGAACAGAGGUCGAAACGCGUCGGGGCUCGCACACCCCAUAGCCUAUAAUAUGUAACGAUGUGCACAAUUUUGUUCUUUUAUUGCAUUAAAUUGUAUUUGUACUGUACAUAUACUGUAUCAUUGGAUCAGAUUAAU